AACGAACGCUGGCGGCAUGCCUAACACAUGCAAGUCGAACGAGACCUUCGGGUCUAGUGGCGCACGGGUGCGUAACGCGUGGGAACCUGCCCUUAGGUUCGGAAUAACUCCCCGAAAGGGGUGAUAAUACCGGAUAAUGUCUUCGGACCAAAGAUUUAUCGCCUUUGGAUGGGCCCGCGUUGGAUUAGCUAGUUGGUAGGGUAAAAGCAUACCAAGGCGACGAUCCAUAGCUGGCCUGAGAGGAUGAUCAGCCACACUGGGACUGAGACACGGCCCAGACUCCUACGGGAUGCAGCAGUGGGGAAUAGUGGACAAUGGGCGAAGGCCUGAUCCAGCAAUGCCGCGUGAGUGAUGAAGGCCUGAGGGUUGUAAAGCUCUUUUACCCGUGAUGAUAUUGACAGUACCGGGAGAAUAAGCUCCGGCUAACUCCGUG
rnacentral:rRNA from 1 species